GCCGGUGACAAACCGGAGGAAGGUGGGGAUGACGUCAAAUCAUCAUGCCCCUUAUGAUUUGGGCUACACACGUGCUACAAUGGACAAUACAAAGGGCAGCGAAACCGCGAGGUCAAGCAAAUCCCAUAAAGUUGUUCUCAGUUCGGAUUGUAGUCUGCAACUCGACUACAUGAAGCUGGAAUCGCUAGUAAUCGUAGAUCAGCAUGCUACGGUGAAUACGUUCCCGGGUCUUGUACACACCGCCCGUCACACCACGAGAGUUUGUAACACCCGAAGCCGGUGGAGUAACCUUUUAGGAGCUAGCCGUCGAAGGUGGGACAAAUGAUUGGGGUGAAGUCGUAACAAGGUAGCCGUAUCGGAAGGUGCGGCUGGAUCACCUCCUUUCUAAGGA
rnacentral:rRNA from 1 species